GAAUUUGGCGGGUCGUUCUGCGAGCACCUGGCAACCCUGCCGCGCACCUCCAAACGCGCCAAACGUGCUUGAGUAUGCUUGCUGUGAUGCUUGCGGUGCAGUGUUCUAGUUCUUGCGGCACGGGCGCUCGAUGAAACGCAUCUCAAACACUUGAUUAAACGCAAAUGCGACGAUGAAACGCAUAAAACGCAUUUGCGUUUAUCGAGCGUUUCAGGUGCGUUUCAUCGAGCGGCCGUGCUUGAGGGGUGCCGUUGUGCCGGAUCACUUUUCCGCAGGCGUUGUGGUUGUGCUAGUUAUGCGCAUGCCAGUAGCGCAAGUUGGUUGUAGAUUCUAGUCAGAGAACCCUUCUUCGUUUGUUGCUAAGCGCGUCCGCCGAGAACUGAAAGGAUGUUCCCCACACGUGACAAGUCGCUGUAGUGCGGGUACCCUGGUUGCGGUGCAUUGUUGACGAGACCUACCAAGAAUUGUCUCCCAAUUGACUUUCCUGUUGUAUUUCAGAGUGCUCACAAAGUGUCGCAAUAUUGGAGCCCCUCUUUGCAUCACAAGACCAUUUUCCUUGCCUCUUUCCGCCUAGUUGCUAGCCUCAGCAUCGGGUCUACUAAGCCAGCUGCCCUGGCGCAGAGCCCAAGCACUUAAGAAACAGAGACUGCUCAUCAUCCAAGAAAAGGAAGAAAGAAAUGGACGUGACCCACUUGUAGCCUGGGGUUGCAGACACAUCAUGAGACUUGCCAGCUGAGUCAUGACCUACAACUGAAACAGAGCUACAGCUGUUGUAUUCACGUCUUGCUGAUGCUCUUGGGCUGCACCAGCUAUCCUCGUGGAGCUCUUACAAUAACGGGCUAUUUCCGAGCCAGCAAGAAUGCUGAAACCAUGUUUUCUACGUGGUCAGUCACUUGCAGAAGCAUGGUCCAAAGACUUGGAAACACUGGUUUAAUGUGGGGAAGACUUCCUUGCUUAGCAUCGCAUCAGUCAAGAAAGGAUGGACCACUUUGAAGGCUCCACAAGAAGACAAUCAAGUUGCCCAAAUUGGUUUGCUUAUCGUGCUGGCAGAAUCGCAGCUUCUGUGACAAAAUGUGUGUGCUCGACAAGCUUGAACUAGCCUUCGAUAAGUCCUGAAGAAAAUAUGUUACCCAUGAGGAGCGCAAGUUUGCCUCUGCAUCGACAUCAUGGAGUUUGGGGCCAUAAGCUAAAUACAAUACGAUAUAGUUAUAAAACGUAAAGAUCAAUGAACCUAAAAUUUUCUUUAUUCGCAGCAUAUAAAAAUUCAGACCCUUCCUCUGUGUACAAAGCAAGGAUAUCAGGACGUCACUUAUGGAUAUAGUUCAAAUACCUAUCAUAAUCAAUGUGAUUGAAGACAUCUAUCUACGAACUGGAAUUACGAGAUAAGCGCUAUUUUUAAAGUGGAGCUGCCGCAGAACAAAGACCCCAUGCUAAGCACGAUCACACCAGGAUACGAUUUUGCACAGGCUUACAACGAAAGUCUGCUCCACGCUCACAGAAAUACUGUUAUCCUCGUUACUCUGUGGACCCUGCACCUCCACCAAAACUGUUACGAUGGGGUGCGUUUAUUUGAAAGAUGAAUUGAUGAAAAGGGGCCGCGCCGCUACAAAGACAAGCACACUUCGUUUUCGUCUUCUUCCAUCGUUGCUGUAGCUUUAGCGUAACAAUACGUUUAUUUCAGUUAGCACGGCAACGAAAGAGCUUUUUACUCAUUAUUCCACACAAUGAAAAUAGUAAUCAGGAAUAUGGAGAUUACUCACGCUCGAGUUCCCCGUAGGGCAGAAGUCUGUUGUGGUAUUGCACGAAUCCAUUUCUUGAACAGUUCCCUAUCUCAUGGGAACCUGAACACGUGGGUUGUGCACUUUGCUGUGUAGUUUCCGCGGCACACAACACUUAUUCGGCAUCGUGCUGUCACAAUGCCAUCGCUGCAGCUGCCCGUCGUCGGCAGUUACAAGUCACGUUAGGCACAGAAUAUCCAGCAACAGAAAAAAAAGAGCACAACCACACGGAGCCCGACGGAGCGAUGCCUACGGCGUCCUGACACAAUGAGAAACAUCCAAACACUUGUAAAAAAAAACAGCUUCACAACAAUGCGCAGAACUGUUGUCAACCCCGUUAGCAUUUUGCCCGCGUUCGCACCGAACGCGCACGGCGUUGGUGACUGUUGCCGGUGCCUCUGGAGGCGGCUCGGAGGUUUUCGACGAGAUCAGAACGGGACACUCGUCGAGCAGCGUCAGAAUUCUUUACCACCUUCUCGCCUCGCAACGUUUUUAUAUAAAUACGCAUUUGGGGCCGCUGCUAAACUUUGCCGCCCCUCAACACCCCAUAGACUCGGGCGUGUGCAGUAUUGCUCUGCCUGCCAAUCCCUGCCUCCCAUGCCCAUGCUGCUUCCCCUACUUGUCACGGUCGCCUCCGUAUGAUGAAGCGCAUCAUGUGACCAGAAGCAGCACUUGGGCCUUCAAGUCUAGGGGGUUUUGCUUCAGCUGGCAAUUCCAGUUUAACAAACUUAGCUCUGGUACAACACCCCGCUGCCAGACAAUGUGCCAGGAAGACGAGCUGCUUCCACAUGGCUUGGCAGCCGGUUGUGCUCGUUUGCCAGGCCCAUCCAGGUUCCCCUUCGAUGUUCUGAGGGGACACGUGGCUCCACGCUUCAUUCCGUGUGCAGGUCCCACUUGUUAGGCCAGGAUCACUGCUUUGUUGCUGUCAUGACUUGUCACCCGUUCGCCGUCGGCGCGAAGUCGUCGACAGGUUAUACAAUCUGGUUGGACGUUCCGUACUCAAGCGAAUACAGUGAAAGGGUCAGAGUCGGGAGUAAACAAAAAAAAACAUGAUAUUUAUCGACUGACGAUACACAAAUUAAUAAAAUAAUUAAAAAAUGACACA